rnacentral:rRNA from 1 species
CCUUUGACUAUACGAAGGUAUUGAAAUAAGAUCUUAAAUGGGUGCUAAGAGAAUGGUUGAACAAAGGUUUUCUUUCUAAAAAUAAAUUACUAGAAGUUGGUUUUUAUGUGAAAAAACAUAAAUUAUAUUUUGGGACAAGAAGACCCUAUGAAUUUUUAUUUUAUAUAAGUAAUUAUAUUAUUUAUAUAAAAUUUGAUUGGGGUGAUUUUUAAAGAUUAGGAAUCUUUAGAUUUAUUAAGAUGAUCCGUUAUUUAACGAUUUUAUGAAAAAAAUACUCUAGGGAUAACAGCGUAAUAAUUUUGGAUAGUUCUUAUUGAUAAAAUUGAUUGCGACCUCGAUGUUGGAUUAAGAUUCUUAUUUAAUGAAGAAGUUAAAUUAAGAAGUUUGCUCAACUUUUAAUACCUUACUUGAUCUGAGUUCAGACCGG